rnacentral:rRNA from 1 species
AUUGAACGCUGGCGGAAUGCUUUACACAUGCAAGUCGAACGGCAGCACGGGUGCUUGCACCUGGUGGCGAGUGGCGAACGGGUGAGUAAUACAUCGGAACGUACCCAGUUAUGGGGGAUAACUAACCGAAAGGUUAGCUAAUACCGCAUACGCCCUGAGGGGGAAAGCGGGGGACCGUAAGGCCUCGCGUAAUUGGAGCGGCCGAUGUCUGAUUAGCUAGUUGGUGAGGUAAAGGCUCACCAAGGCGACGAUCAGUAGCAGGUCUGAGAGGAUGAUCUGCCACACUGGAACUGAGACACGGUCCAGACUCCUACGGGAGGCAGCAGUGGGGAAUUUUGGACAAUGGGGGAAACCCUGAUCCAGCCAUUCCGCGUGAGUGAAGAAGGCCUUCGGGUUGUAAAGCUCUUUCGGCGGGGAAGAAACGGUCUAGGUUAAUACCUUGGGCUAAUGACGGUACCUGAAGAAGAAGCACCGGCUAACUACGUGCCAGCCGCCGCGGUAA